ACCAGGGGACCGCACUACCCAGACAACAUCACGGGAACACCCGCACUGGGGAGAGGGCUUCCAAGCACGCAGACCACAGGUGUCGGCGCCCCUCGAGCGGCCCGAGCCCCCCGCAGCCACUGCCAGUUGCGAGCCGUUGAGGCAGGCGUUGACAGUGAAGAAGAAGGAACAGAGCUGCAGCCACGGGGCCAUAGCCGUACGCUAGCCCAGCGGGGCCCUUCUCCGCUCGGCUGCCGCCUGAAGCUCGCUCCUAGUCCCUGGUGGGCGGUGGCAGCCGCGGCAGCAGGGGGCCGUCCACACCGAGCAUGCGCAGCCGGGCUUCGCCCCGCCUCUCUCCUCCAGGUCCCGCCCUCGAUCUCAGUUCUCCCACCCGGUCCUGCCCCUCUACCCCGCCCCUCCUGUCUUGACCCCGCCCCGCAGCCGCUGAGACUCGGGCUUCAACAAGUUUCAACCCCCUCGCCGAGGGAACUUUUUUUUUAAUCCAAAGGAUUUGUCCAAAUGAUGACUGCUCCAUACAAAAACUUGGAGCGACUCAAAGAAUAUAAUAACAGUAAUUUUAAAAUUAA